CCUACGGGAGGCAGCAGUAAGGAAUAUUGGUCAAUGGGCGCAAGCCUGAACCAGCCAUGCCGCGUGCAGGAAGACGGCCCUAUGGGUUGUAAACUGCUUUUGAACAAGAGAAAACCUCGGUACGUGUACCGAGCUGAUAGUAUUGUUAGAAUAAGCAUCGGCUAACUUCGUGCCAGCAGCCGCGGUAAGACGAAGGAUGCAAGCGUUAUCCGGAUUCAUUGGGUUUAAAGGGUGCGUAGGCGGACCGAUAAGUCAGUGGUGAAAUCUCUCAGCUUAACUGAGAAACUGCCAUUGAUACUGUCAGUCUAGAGUACAGAUGAUGUGGGCGGAAUAUGACAUGUAGUGGUGAAAUACUUAGAUAUGUCAUAGAACACCGAUUGCGAAGGCAGCUCACAAAGCUGUAACUGACGCUGAGGCACGAGAGUGCGGGGAUCAAACAGGAUUAGAUACCCUGGUAGUCCGCACCGUAAACGAUGAUUACUCGUUGUUGGCAAUAUGACCGUCAGCGACCAAGCGAAAGCGUUAUUAAGUAAUUCCACCGUGGGGAGUUACGCCGGCACGGUUGAAACUUCAAGGAUUGACGG
rnacentral:rRNA from 1 species